CCUACGGGGGGCAGCAGUGAGGAAUAUUGGUCAAUGGACGAGAGUCUGAACCAGCCAAGCAGCGUGAAGGAUGACUGCCCUAUGGGUUGUAAACUUCUUUUAUAAAGGAAUAAAACGAGGCACGUGUGCCUUUUUGCAUGUACUUUAUGAAUAAGGAGCGGCUAACUCCGCGCCAGCAGCCGCGGUAAUACGGAGGAUCCGAGCGUUAUCCGGAUUUGUUGGGUUUAAAGGGAGCGUAGAUGGGUUGUUAAGUCAGUUGUGAAAGUUUGCGGCUCAACCGUAAAAUUGCAAUUGAUACUGGCAGUCUUGAGUACAGUUGAGGUAGGCGGAAUUCGUGGUGUAGCGGUGAAAUGCUUAGAUAUCACGAAGAACCCCGAUGGCGAAGGCAGCUUACUAAACUGUGACUGACAUUGAUGCGCGAAAGUGUGGGUAUCAAACAGGAUUAGAUACCCGGGUAGUC
rnacentral:rRNA from 1 species